rnacentral:rRNA from 1 species
UGGGGAAUAUUGGGCAAUGGGCGAAAGCCUGACCCAGCCACGCCGCGUGAGUGAUGAAGGCCUUCGGGUCGUAAAGCUCUGUGGGGAGGGACGAACAAGUUCGGUGUUAACACCACCGGACCCUGACGGUACCUCCUUAGCAAGCACCGGCUAACCCUGUGCCAGCAGCCGCGGUAAUACAGGGGGUGCAAACGUUGCUCGGAAUUAUUGGGCGUAAAGCGCACGUAGGCGGUCUGUUAUGUCGGAUGUGAAAGCCCUUGGCUUAACUGAGGAAGUGCAUCCGAAACUGGCAGGCUAGAGUAUGUAAGAGGGUCGCGGAAUUCCCGGUGUAGAGGUGAAAUUCGUAGAUAUCGGGAGGAACACCGGUGGCGAAGGCGGCGACCUGGGACAAUACUGACGCUGAGGUGCGAAAGCGUGGGGAGCAAACAG